AUUGAACGCUGGCGGCAUGCCUUACACAUGCAAGUCGAACGGUAACAGGGAGCUUGCUCCGCUGACGAGUGGCGAACGGGUGAGUAAUGUAUCGGAACGUACCAUUCGAGUGGGGGAUAACGUAGCGAAAAGUUACGCUAAUACCGCAUAUUCUGUGAGCAGGAAAGCAGGGGAUCGCAAGACCUUGCGCUGAUUGAGCGGCCGAUAUCAGAUUAGCUAGUUGGUGAGGUAAAGGCUCACCAAGGCGACGAUCUGUAGCGGGUCUGAGAGGAUGAUCCGCCACACUGGAACUGAGACACGGUCCAGACUCCUACGGGAGGCAGCAGUGGGGAAUUUUGGACAAUGGGGGCAACCCUGAUCCAGCCAUGCCGCGUGAGUGAAGAAGGCCUUCGGGUUGUAAAGCUCUUUCGGCCGGGAAAAAAAUCGCAUCAGUUAAUACCUGGUGUGGAUGAUGGUACCGGAAUAAGAAGCACCGGCUAACUACGUG
rnacentral:rRNA from 1 species